rnacentral:rRNA from 1 species
GAAAAGAAACCAACAGGGAUUGCCCUAGUAACGGCGAGUGAAGCGGCAACAGCUCAAAUUUGAAAUCUGGCCUCGGCCCGAGUUGUAAUUUGCAGAGGAUGCUUCUGGCGCGGUGCCUUCCGAGUUCCCUGGAACGGGACGCCACAGAGGGUGAGAGCCCCGUAUGGUCGGACACCAAGCCUGUGUGAAGCUCCUUCGACGAGUCGAGUAGUUUGGGAAUGCUGCUCUAAAUGGGAGGUAAAUCUCUUCUAAAGCUAAAUACCGGCCAGAGACCGAUAGCGCACAAGUAGAGUGAUCGAAAGAUGAAAAGCACCUUGAAAAGGGGGUUAAAUAGUACGUGAAAUUGUUGAAAGGGAAGCACUUAUGACCAGACUUGGGCCGGGCGGCUCAUCAGGGGUUCUCCCCUGUGCACUCCGCCCGGCACAGGCCAGCAUCGGUUCUCGUGGGGGGAUAAGACCGUCAGGAACGUAGCACCCUCCGGGGUGUGUUAUAGCCUGGCGGACGAUACCCCCGUGGGGACCGAGGUCCGCGCUCCGCAAGGAUGCUGGCGUAAUGGUCAUCAGUGACCCGUCUUGAAACACGGACCAAGGAGUCGUCCAUUAGAGCGAGCGUUUGGGUGUAAAACCCGCACGCGUAAUGAAAGUGAACGCAGGUGAGAGCUUCGGCGCAUCAUCGACCGAUCCUGAUGUUCUCGGAAGGAUUUGAGUAAGAGUUUUAACGGACGGACCCGAAAGACAGUGAACUAUGCUUGUAUAGGGUGAAGCCAGAGGAAACUCUGGUGGAGGCUCGCAGCGGUUCUGACGUGCAAAUCGAUCGUCAAAUAUGAGCAUGGGGGCGAAAGACUAAUCGAACUGUCUAGUAGCUGGUUACCGCCGAAGUUUCCCUCAGGAUAGCAGUGUUGAUCUUCAGUUUUAUGAGGUAAAGCGAAUGAUUAGGGACUCGGGGGCUAUAUAUUGCCUUCAUCCAUUCUCAAACUUUAAAUAUGUAAGAAGCCCUUGUUACUUAAUUGAACGUGGGCAUUCGAAUGUACCAACACUAGUGGGCCAUUUUUGGUAAGCAGAACUGGCGAUGCGGGAUGAACCGAACGCGGGGUUAAGGCGCCAGAGUGUACGCUCAUCAGACACCACAAAAGGCGUUAGUACAUCUUGACAGCAGGACGGUGGCCAUGGAAGUCGGAAUCCGCUAAGGACUGUGUAACAACUCACCUGCCGAAUGUACUAGCCCUGAAAAUGGAUGGCGCUCAAGCGUACCGCCCAUACCCCGCCCCCAGGGUAGAAACGAUGCCCUGGGGAGUAGGCG